UACGUAGGUGGAAAGCGUUAUCCGGAAUUAUUGGGCGUAAAGAGCGCGCAGGUGGUUAAUUAAGUCUGAUGUGAAAGCCCACGGCUUAACCGUGGAGGGUCAUUGGAAACUGGUUGACUUGAGUGCAGAAGAGGGAAGUGGAAUUCCAUGUGUAGCGGUGAAAUGCGUAGAGAUAUGGAGGAACACCAGUGGCGAAGGCGGCUUCCUGGUCUGCAACUGACACUGAGGCGCGAAAGCGUGGGGAGCAAACAGG
rnacentral:rRNA from 1 species